rnacentral:lncRNA from 1 species
GGAGGCCCUGUGGACCUCCGGUGGGGCAGAGUACCGACCCAAAGACCCUCCGGCCCCGCAGCCUCCGGCUGUCCGCAGUUCCUCCAGUUAUUACCACUCAGCCAUCCUUUGCAUGCAUGCAACCAGUUUCUAUUUUUGUGUAGGGCAGAGCCUUUCAGGCAAAUGGAAGCGCCUUACCCCUGCCACAAGGUAGGACCACUCCAUGGAAACAAAUGAGCAUUUAUUUCAUCAAAGGCUUCCCGGAGACCAGGCAUCUUACCAAGCUCAGAGGACCCUUAGGAGCUCCUUGGAGGUGGUGGAGGAAGCUAGAUGAGGAGGGGGAGCUCAGUGCCCCGCUUCUGGUUGGAACAGAGCAGAAGUGUGUAUGUUUCAACAGACGAAUGGAUAAACAAAAUGCCGUCUCUCCAUACAAUGGAAUAUUCUUCAGACAUGAAAAGGAAUGAAGUACUGACAUGCUACAACGAGGAGGAACUCCAAAAGCCUCACCCGAAGUGAAAGAAGCCAGGCACAAAAGGGACAUGGAUGAAGCUGGAAGCCAUCAUCCUCAGCAAACUAACACAGGAACAGAAAACCAAACACCGCAUGUUCUCACUCAUAAGUGGCAGUUGAACAUUGAGAACACAUGGACACAGAGAGGGGAACAACAUACACCAGGGCCUGUUGGGGGAUGGGGGUGAGAAGCGGGAAGUUGGAGGAUGGGUCAAUAGAUGCAGCAAACCACCAUGGCACACAUAUACCUAUGUAACAAACCUGCACGUUCUGCACAUGUAUCCUGUUUUUUUUUUUAGAAGAAAUAAAUAAAUAAAACGAAUGAGGU